UACGUAGGGUGCGAGCGUUAAUCGGAAUUACUGGGCGUAAAGCGUGCGCAGGCGGUUCUCCAAGUCCGUUGUGAAAGCCCCGGGCUUAACCUGGGAACUGCGUUUGAAACUGGGAGACUUGAGUGUGGCAGAGGGGGGUGGAAUUCCACGUGUAGCAGUGAAAUGCGUAGAUAUGUGGAGGAACACCGAUGGCGAAGGCAGCCCCCUGGGUUAACACUGACGCUCAUGCACGAAAGCGUGGGGAGCAAACAGG
rnacentral:rRNA from 1 species